UACGUAGGGGGCGAGCGUUUGUCCGGAUUUAUUGGGCGUAAAGAGCGUGUAGGCGGUUCGGUAAGUCUGUCGUGAAAUCCUGAGGCUCAACCUCGGGCGUGCGAUGGAUACUGCCGGGCUAGAGGGUGGUAGAGGCGAGUGGAAUUCCCGGUGUAGCGGUGAAAUGCGCAGAUAUCGGGAGGAACACCAGUAGCGAAAGCGACUUCCUGGACCAAUACUGACGCUCAUGUGCGAAAGCGUGGGGAGCAAACAGGG
rnacentral:rRNA from 1 species